ACACGGGGGGCGCAAGCGUUAUUCGGAAUUAUUGGGCGUAAAGGGCGUGUGGGCGGUUUUAUCGGUCAGAUGUGAAAGCCCAGGGCUCAACCCUGGACGUGCAUUUGAAACAGUAAGACUUGAGUACGGUAGAGGAAAGCGGAAUUCCUGGUGUAGAGGUGAAAUUCGUAGAUAUCAGGAGGAACACCGAUGGCGAAGGCAGCUUUCUGGACCGAAACUGACGCUGAUGCGCGAAGGCGUGGGUAGCGAACAGGAUUAGAUACCCGAGUAGUCC
rnacentral:rRNA from 1 species